CUGUUUGUUUAAAACAAAUAGCAAUUUUCUUUGUGUUACAUUGAGUUCUCACUGAAACCUGUACUCUUUUGGAUUCACUGUGCUUUAGCUUCCUGAAAGGGAUUGUUGCUCUGUGCAAGCCCGUGGAUUGCUCCUAAGAUUUCAGUUCACGGCUUCUGCAUGGGCCCAACUAUGCAAGUUAAAUGAAAAUGUCUGCAGUUGCAUUCAACUGAAGUGGGAACACAAUAUCAACAGCAGACUUGGGCCCCAUGUGACGUGCUAUGCAACAAAGGAUGAAAGCCAUCACCCAGACUAUGAUUUGGGAACAGAUUUUUAACUUGAACGUUUGAUUGGUGCAGUAUGCUAACGGAACCUCCCAUGGUUCUUGAGGACUGCUUACAGGAGUUUUCUUUCGGCAUAUCCUAAAAUGCAAGAGAGAAGAUGAAAACAUGAUUGGGAAAUCCAGCCAUUUUGUGGCUGGCUCCUGCACAAUGGACUCAAGUGAUGAGAAAAAGGUUCUCUGCACCAUGUCCCUCCAUUUACACACCCAUAAAAGGAUUGCAAUAAUCUAACCCUAAUUAUUUUCAGUAUCAAGUAUCCAUCAUGCAAUCGUUGUGCAUUUCACUCUUAAGAGAGAAUGAAUUUCAGAAGCAUGGAACCACUUGAGAAAGUGCCAGGACUCUGAAUUUUAUCCAGUUAAGUUUUGGUAUCCAGGCCAAGUGCUUGUUGUAAUGUAAUAUGGAUUAGAAAUGGAAAUGCUACCCUUGGCAUAAGUUAUCUAGCUAGCAUCUUGAAUUCCACCCAAGGGUUCUUGGCAGCCAGUGAGGGGAAUGGUUUCCAGAAUGGAGAGCGUGCAACUCUAUAGUAUGAUUUCCUUGACAUCAUUCUCAUGUUUUGGUAUAUGAAGGCAAACCCAAGUGGUAGGACAUGAGAAUGUGCUAACAGGAUUUCCUAACAUGGUUAUGAUUAUAUUGUAGACAAUGCAUUAGGCUGAGUCUUUUCUCCAGGCUAUGGAUUGUAAUAAUUCCUCUCACUGUAUUUGUUAAUUAGGUCCCUGAUCCAAAGCCAACUGAACUUUCCAUCAGGCCCUAGUAGUCCAGUUCUGUGUGGUAUUAAGCAUCUCAGAGUAUCUGGCCUUGGUUUCUUAAUACCCCAAAUUUAUUUUACUUUUGUCAUAAUACCUUUUGUCUGACUGUUUUUUUGUUUUUUGAGAACCUUUUCUGAUAUUAAAUUCAGGUAGCUCAUAGCUCCUGAUUCCAAGUUUCUGCCCCAGUAUUCAGCACCAGAGAUAAUUGUGCUGAUGAAUAAAGUAAGGAAGAAGGGUUUUUUGUUGUUGUUGUUUGUUGUUGCACUUUUUAAAUUUUUUUAAAAAGGAAAAAGAAUAAAAUUGCUGCAUAAUCUUGCACAGUUAUUUUUGGUUGAUCAUGUUGAACAAAUGAUUUUAAACUUUUUGAGGUCUUAUGAUAUAAAUGUCUUCAACUCCAUUAUAAAAACAUGACUUAAUAUAGUUUAAAGACUCUCUAAGCGGUUUUCUACAAACCCAUUUUUUUCUGCUC